rnacentral:lncRNA from 1 species
UGGAGUUGGGGGCGGCAGCUGCCUGUGGGCCCCACAAGCCUGCCCACCGCCACCAGGGGGGUGGUGGAGGAGCAGGGGCUUGUGGCCCACUGGCCCACCCCCUGAGGUGGAACUUGGCGCAGAUAUUUUUGAUAUUUUCCAAAACUGCUCCCAGUAAAUUUUUAGGACGUUUGGAGAACUUUGAUUUCUGCACAAAAAUAACACCAAGGCAAUUCUGCUGAAAAUAGCGUCAGUCUAGGUUAGUUCCAUUCAAAUCAUGCAAAUUAGAGUCCAAAACAAGGGCAAAAGAGUUUGGAAAAGUAGAUACGAUGGAGACGUAUC